CAGCAGCCGCGGUAAUACGUAGGGGGCAAGCGUUAUCCGGAAUAACUGGGCGUAAAGGGUGCGCAGGUGGUUUAACAAGUUAGUGGUGAAAGGCAUAGGCUCAACCAAUGUAAGCCAUUAAAACUGUUUAACUUGAGUGCAGGAGAGGAAAGUGGAAUUCCUAGUGUAGCGGUGAAAUGCGUAGAUAUUAGGAAGAACACCAGUGGCGAAGGCGGCUUUUUGGCCUGUAACUGACACUGAGGCGCGAAAGCGUGGGGAGCAAACAGGAUUAGAUACCCGAGUAGUCCCUGUCUCUUAUACA
rnacentral:rRNA from 1 species